GAAGCUUAUUAUCCGAUAUAGUGUAACGGCUAUCACAUCACGCUUCAGCAAAUAUGCUGAGCCGCAGUAAUCUGCGGACCGUGGAGACCGGGGUUCGACUCCCCGUAUCGGAGUUAUUUUUUGUCGACG
rnacentral:tRNA from 1 species